UACGUAGGGGGCAAGCGUUGUCCGGAAUCAUUGGGCGUAAAGCGCGUGUAGGCGGCCCGGUAAGUCCGCUGUGAAAGUCGGGGGCUCAACCCUCGAAUGCCGGUGGAUACUGUCGGGCUAGAGUGCGGGAGAGGCGAGUGGAAUUCCUGGUGUAGCGGUGAAAUGCGCAGAUAUCGGGAGGAACACCAGAGGCGAAGGCGGCGACCUGGACAGUUACUGACACUCAACUACGAAAGCGUGGGGAGCAAACAGG
rnacentral:rRNA from 1 species